AAGGAAUCGCUCGACGACGUGC
rnacentral:miRNA from 1 species